rnacentral:rRNA from 1 species
GACGUAGGGCGCAAGCGUUGUCCGGAUUUAUUGGGCGUAAAGAGCUCGUAGGCGGCUUGUCGCGUCGACUGUGAAAACCCGCAGCUUAACUGCGGGACUGCAGUCGAUACGGGCAGGCUAGAGUUCGGUAGGGGAGACUGGAAUUCCUGGUGUAGCGGUGAAAUGCGCAGAUAUCAGGAGGAACACCGGUGGCGAAGGCGGGUCUCUGGGCCGAUACUGACGCUGAGGAGCGAAAGCGUGGGGAGCGAACAGG